rnacentral:rRNA from 1 species
ACGAACGCUGGCGGCGUGCUUAACACAUGCAAGUCGAACGGUGAAGCGCCUUCCUUUUUGGUGGGUGUGGAUGAGUGGCGAACGGGUGAGUAACACGUGAGUAACCUGCCCCCUUCUUCUGGAUAACCGCAUGAAAGUGUGGCUAAUACGGGAUAUUCUGGGUCUGUCGCAUGAUGGGUCUGGGAAAGAUAUUGUUUCGGUGGGGGAUGGGCUCGCGGCCUAUCAGCUUGUUGGUGGGGUGAUGGCCUACCAAGGCGGUGACGGGUAGCCGGCCUGAGAGGGUGGACGGUCAUACUGGGACUGAGACACGGCCCAGACUCCUACGGGAGGCAGCAGUGGGGAAUAUUGCACAAUGGGCGCAAGCCUGAUGCAGCGACGCCGCGUGAGGGAUGGAGGCCUUCGGGUUGUGAACCUCUUUCGCCAGUGAAGCAGGCCUGCCUCGUUUGUGGGUGGGUUGACGGUAGCUGGAUAAGAAGCGCCGGCUAACUACGUG